rnacentral:rRNA from 1 species
AUGCACGCUGGCGGCGUGCCUCAUACCUGCAAGUCGCGCGCACAGACGAGGAGCUUGCUCCUCUGACGUUAGCGGCGGACGGGUGAGUAACACGUGGAUAACCUACCUAUAAGACUGGGAUAACUUCGGGAAACCGGAGCUAAUACCGGAUAAUAUAUUGAACCGCAUGGUUCAAUAGUGAAAGACGGUUUUGCUGUCACUUAUAGAUGGAUCCGCGCCGCAUUAGCUAGUUGGUAAGGUAACGGCUUACCAAGGCAACGAUGCGUAGCCGACCUGAGAGGGUGAUCGGCCACACUGGAACUGAGACACGGUCCAGACUCCUACGGGAGGCAGCAGUAGGGAAUCUUCCGCAAUGGGCGAAAGCCUGACGGAGCAACGCCGCGUGAGUGAUGAAGGUCUUCGGAUCGUAAAACUCUGUUAUUAGGGAAGAACAAAUGUGUAAGUAACUAUGCACGUCUUGACGGUACCUAAUCAGAAAGCCACGGCUAACUACGUG